AGGGAUGGGGAGCUCAGUCAGU
rnacentral:miRNA from 1 species